CAGCCGCCGCGGUAAUACGUAGGGUGCAAGCGUUAAUCGGAAUUACUGGGCGUAAAGCGUGCGCAGGCGGUUCGGAAAGAAAGAUGUGAAAUCCCAGAGCUUAACUUUGGAACUGCAUUUUUAACUACCGGGCUAGAGUGUGUCAGAGGGAGGUGGAAUUCCGCGUGUAGCAGUGAAAUGCGUAGAUAUGCGGAGGAACACCGAUGGCGAAGGCAGCCUCCUGGCCCGCUCCUGACGCUGAGACCCGAAAGCGUGGGGAGCAAACCGGAUUAGAUACCCGGGUAGUCCACGCCCUAAACGAUGUCAACUAGCUGUUGGGGCCUUCGGGCCUUGGUAGCGCAGCUAACGCGUGAAGUUGACCGCCUGGGGAGUACGGUCGCAAGAUUAAAACUUAAAGGAAUUGGCGGG
rnacentral:rRNA from 1 species